CCUACGGGUGGCUGCAGUGGGGAAUAUUGCACAAUGGCCGCAAGCCUGAUGCAGCCAUGCCGCGUGUGUGAAGAAGGCCUUCGGGUUGUAAAGCACUUUCAGCGGGGAGGAAGGCGUUAAGGUUAAUAACCUUGUCGAUUGACGUUACCCGCAGAAGAAGCACCGGCUAACUCCGUGCCAGCAGCCGCGGUAAUACGGAGGGUGCAAGCGUUAAUCGGAAUUACUGGGCGUAAAGCGCACGCAGGCGGUCUGUCAAGUCGGAUGUGAAAUCCCCGGGCUCAACCUGGGGACUGCAUUCGAAACUGGCAGGCUAGAGUCUUGUAGAGGGGGGUAGAAUUCCAGGUGUAGCGGUGAAAUGCGUAGAGAUCUGGGGGAAUACCGGUGGCGAAGGCGGCCCCCCGGACAAAGACUGACGCUCAGGUGCGAAAGCGUGGGGAGCAAACAGGAUUAGAUACCCUUGUAGUC
rnacentral:rRNA from 1 species